rnacentral:rRNA from 1 species
AGUGAACGCUGGCGGUAGGCCUAACACAUGCAAGUCGAACGGCAGCACAGUAAGAGCUUGCUCUUACGGGUGGCGAGUGGCGGACGGGUGAGGAAUACAUCGGAAUCUACUUUUUCGUGGGGGAUAACGGAGGGAAACUUACGCUAAUACCGCAUACGACCUACGGGUGAAAGCAGGGGAUCUUCGGACCUUGCGCGAUUGAAUGAGCCGAUGUCGGAUUAGCUAGUUGGCGGGGUAAAGGCCCACCAAGGCGACGAUCCGUAGCUGGUCUGAGAGGAUGAUCAGCCACACUGGAACUGAGACACGGUCCAGACUCCUACGGGAGGCAGCAGUGGGGAAUAUUGGACAAUGGGCGAAAGCCUGAUCCAGCAAUACCGCGUGGGUGAAGAAGGCCUUCGGGUUGUAAAGCCCUUUUGUUGGGAAAGAAAAGCAGCAGAUUAAUACCCCGCUGUUCUGACGGUACCCAAAGAAUAAGCACCGGCUAACUUCGUG